GACGAACGCUGGCGGCGUGCUUAACACAUGCAAGUCGAACGGAAAGGCCCUGCUUUUGUGGGGUGCUCGAGUGGCGAACGGGUGAGUAACACGUGAGUAACCUGCCCUUGACUUUGGGAUAACUUCAGGAAACUGGGGCUAAUACCGGAUAGGAGCUCCUGCUGCAUGGUGGGGGUUGGAAAGUUUCGGCGGUUGGGGAUGGACUCGCGGCUUAUCAGCUUGUUGGUGGGGUAGUGGCUUACCAAGGCUUUGACGGGUAGCCGGCCUGAGAGGGUGACCGGCCACAUUGGGACUGAGAUACGGCCCAGACUCCUACGGGAGGCAGCAGGGGGGAAUAUUACACAAUGGGCGGAAGCCUGAUGCAGCAACGCCGCGUGCGGGAUGACGGCCUUCGGGUUGUAAACCGCUUUCGCCUGUGACGAAGCGUGAGUGACGGUAAUGGGUAAAGAAGCACCGGCUAACUACGUG
rnacentral:rRNA from 1 species